GAUGAACGCUGGCGGCGUGCCUAAUACAUGCAAGUCGAGCGAACAGACGAGGAGCUUGCUCCUCUGACGUUAGCGGCGGACGGGUGAGUAACACGUGGAUAACCUACCUAUAAGACUGGGAUAACUUCGGGAAACCGGAGCUAAUACCGGAUAAUAUAUUGAACCGCAUGGUUCAAUAGUGAAAGACGGUUUUGCUGUCACUUAUAGAUGGAUCCGCGCCGCAUUAGCUAGUUGGUAUGGUAACGGCUUACCAAGGCAACGAUGCGUAGCCGACCUGAGAGGGUGAUCGGCCACACGGGAACUGAGACGCGGUCCAGACUCCUACGGGAGGCAGCAGUAGGGAAUCUUCCGCAAUGGGCGAAAGCUUGACGGAGCAACGCCGCGUGAGUGAUGAAGGUCUUCGGAUCGUAAAACUCUGUUAUUAGGGAAGAACAAAUGUGUAAGUAACUAUGCACGUCUUGACGGUACCUAAUCAGAAAGCCACGGCUAACUACGUG
rnacentral:rRNA from 1 species